UAAGUUGCCAUCAAGUGAUAGCUAGGCUGGCGAACUAUAUAAACUAGCCUGUAUUCGGCAGAAAAACGUUUAUCUUGUCAUUUGCCGUGGUAGCCUAUCGUUGUAUCAAGAACAGUAGUGAUACUUAGAACAGUGAAUAAGUAUUUUUGCGGGUCAAUAGAACACAAUUCUCACCAAUUGCUUAAGUAAAAGUCUGAAGAAUAACUACAACGUCUGAAGAAUACAAGAAAAGGGACUUGGCCACAGACGAUGUCUCCUUUUUCUGAAUGUGUUCCUGUUUGGUCCCGUUCUUCCCCCAGCGCCUCUGCGUCUUUUGGUUCCUCCACUGCGGCUGGUGUCUGCAGCUCUAUGGCAGGUUGUUCAGCGGAGAGACGUCAUGGACUACGGCUGGUUGGAGGAGUUUGUCACCACCACCUGUUGUGUUGGACAUAGUCCCAGAUCUGAUGAGUUACAGAGAGAAAGUCCAACUCAUCAUGGGUCUGAGAGCACAGCUGUUUCUGGAGUUGUGUCGCUCAGAACACCUAGCCGACUCUGAUACCAUCCAGCCACGCUCAGAACACCUAGCCGACUCUGAUACCAUCCAGCCACGCUCAGAACACCUAGCCGACUCUGAUACCAUCCAGCCACGCUCAGAACACCUAGCCGACUCUGAUACCAUCCAGCCACGCUCAGAACACCUAGCCGACUCUGAUACCAUCCAGCCACACCUGGACAGGAUGAGGACCUGUAUCAUCACUCGUAGAGACAACAAGUGCUGGAGUCCUGAACCAA